CACUAGAGUGAGAAAGGAGUAGGAUGUAAGUAGAUCCUAGUGUGUGUUGUUAUAUGUUUGUUUAUAACAUGUGGUAGAUUGAUUACUAGUACUUAGUGUGGUUCUUUAAUUGAACUAGGUGAAUGUAUUCUCAUGAUGAGAACUUGUUUGAGAACAUGCUAUGUUUUAUACAUGUUUGAGUAGAUGUUGUAAGUAUGCAAGCAAAUGAAAUGUAAUGCAUGUACUUGACUCGAUGUCUUGUGUACAUGGAUGUUUUGUUGUCU
rnacentral:lncRNA from 1 species